rnacentral:rRNA from 1 species
UACGGAGGGGGCUAGCGUUGUUCGGAUUUACUGGGCGUAAAGGGCGCGUAGGCGGCCACCGCAAGUCAGUUGUGAAAUCUCUGGGCUUAACCCAGAACGGUCAGCUGAUACUGCGGGGCUAGAGUGCAGAAGGGGCAACUGGAAUUCUCGGUGUAGCGGUGAAAUGCGUAGAUAUCGAGAGGAACACCUGCGGCGAAGGCGGGUUGCUGGGCUGACACUGACGCUGACAGCGCGAAAGCUAGGGGAGCGAACGGG